UAUUACUAUUAUGGUGUUAAGUAAAAACAGGAAGUUGCCCCAGAGGUCUGAAACGCGUCGUCAGAUAGACUAACUGGCGAUUUACUGCAGACCUCUUAUUGUGGAGCGGUGACAGAAGUUCAAACUCAGGACAGCCAGGGCAGUCUUCUGGAGAGACGACAGAGUGUGGUUUCAAUAAUGGGAUUAUGGCUGGUGUGAACAGGGCUUUCCCAGGGCUAUCCCAUACCAUGUCGGUUCUGGAGACUCAGGAGCCAUGUUGAUUCGUGGGCGGGA